GACGAACGCUGGCGGCGUGCCUAAUACAUGCAAGUCGAACGCACUCUCGUUUAGAUUGAAGGAGCUUGCUCCUGAUUGAUAAACAUUUGAGUGAGUGGCGGACGGGUGAGUAACACGUGGGUAACCUGCCCUAAAGUGGGGGAUAACAUUUGGAACAGAUGCUAAUACCGCAUAAAACCUAACACCGCAUGGUGUAGGGUUGAAAGAUGGUUUCGGCUAUCACUUUAGGAUGGACCCGCGGUGCAUUAGUUAGUUGGUGAGGUAAAGGCUCACCAAGACCGUGAUGCAUAGCCGACCUGAGAGGGUAAUCGGCCACACUGGGACUGAGACACGGCCCAGACUCCUACGGGAGGCAGCAGUAGGGAAUCUUCCACAAUGGACGAAAGUCUGAUGGAGCAACGCCGCGUGAGUGAAGAGGUUUCGGAUCGUAAAACUCUGUUGUUGGAGAAGAAUGUAUCUGAUAGUAACUGAUCAGGUAGUGACGGUAUCC
rnacentral:rRNA from 1 species